GGAAAUACUUUGUAUGAUAUCAUAAUGAUGGAUACAUUCAUUCUACAUUUAUCCAAAUUCAUAGCAUGAACAAGACCAAGAGUGAACCCUAAGAGUCUGUGUUGAAUAAAGUUGCUGGUGCUUAUGCAAGAUUGUCCCUUAUCCCCACACUGGAUGGAUCCACAGCCAGAACCUAGCUCUGCCUCCACAUUGAUAUGUCAGCUUUCUUAUCUCCAGCUGGCUUUCAGAAUCUGAAGCUAGAGUCAUAAUUGCCCCACUCUGGGCUCACAUCUUUGAGCCUCACCUUCCAAAAGGGAAAGAAGCUUUCGCUCCACUCCUCCACUCCUGAUGAAAAUAAAUCCUGAAUGUAUGUAUUUGUCAAAAAGA